rnacentral:rRNA from 1 species
AGAGUUUGAUCAUGGCUCAGAUUGAACGCUGGCGGAAUGCUUUACACAUGCAAGUCGAACGGCAGCACGGACUUCGGUCUGGUGGCGAGUGGCGAACGGGUGAGUAAUGUAUCGGAACGUGCCCAGUCGUGGGGGAUAACGUAGUGAAAAUUACGCUAAUACCGCAUACGAUCUAUGGAUGAAAGCGGGGGAUCGCAAGACCUCGCGCGAUUGGAGCGGCCGAUAUCAGAUUAGGUAGUUGGUAGGGUAAAGGCCUACCAAGCCAACGAUCUGUAGCUGGUCUGAGAGGACGACCAGCCACACUGGAACUGAGACACGGUCCAGACUCCUACGGGAGGCAGCAGUGGGGAAUUUUGGACAAUGGGCGGAAGCCUGAUCCAGCCAUUCCGCGUGCAGGAUGAAGGCCCUCGGGUUGUAAACUGCUUUUGUACAGAACGAAAAGGUUUCUACUAAUACUAGGAGCUCAUGACGGUACUGUAAGAAUAAGCACCGGCUAACUACGUGCCAGCAGCCGCGGUAAUACGUAGGGUGCAAGCGUUAAUCGGAAUUACUGGGCGUAAAGCGUGCGCAGGCGGUUAUAUAAGUCAGAUGUGAAAUCCCCGGGCUCAACCUGGGAACUGCAUUUGAGACUGUAUAGCUAGAGUACGGUAGAGGGGGAUGGAAUUCCGCGUGUAGCAGUGAAAUGCGUAGAUAUGCGGAGGAACACCGAUGGCGAAGGCAAUCCCCUGGACCUGUACUGACGCUCAUGCACGAAAGCGUGGGGAGCAAACAGGAUUAGAUACCCGGUAGUCC